AUAAAGUUUAAUUCUGGUUUAAAGAUUUAUUUAAUUUUUUUUUUACAUGUAAAUUUUUGUAAGUUUAUUAUUUAAAUUUUAAUAAUUAAAUAAUAUAAUUUAUUCGCAGUAUUUAAUAUUGAUAAUUUAAGAAAUUAAGAAUUAGGAAUAAAUUUAAAAUAUUAACAAAUUUUGUGCCAGCAGUUGCGGUUAAACAAAAAAUAUGAAUAAAUUUUAUUAGUAAAUAAUUAUAUAAUAUUAAUAAAUAAAUAAAAAUUAUAUUUAUAAGGUAAAAUUUUAAAUGUAAAUUAAUUUAUUUAGUUAUGAUCUUGAAAUUUAAAGAUUUUGGCGGUAUUUUAGUCUAUUUAGAGGAACCUGUUCUAUAAUUGAUAAUCCACGAUUAAUAGUACUUAUUUUAAAAAUUUGUAUAUCGUCGUUAUAAGAAAAUUUUAAUAGAAUAUAAAUUUUUAGUAUUUUAAAUUAGAAGUUAUUUCAGAUCAAGGUGCAGUUGAUAUUUAAGAAAGAAAUGGGUUACAAUAAAUUUAUUUAUAUGGAUAAAAAAUUAAAAAUAUUUUUUUGAAAGUGGAUUUAAUAGUAAUAAGAUUUAAUUAAAUUUUAUGAUUUUAGCUCUAAAAUAUGUACAUAUCGCCCGUCACUCUUAUUUUAAGAUAAGAUAAGUCGUAACAUAGUAGAUGUACUGGAAAGUGUAUCUAGAAUGAC
rnacentral:ncRNA from 1 species